GGUUGCUAUGGCUUCUGCUCCUUGAACCAGACAAUGUCUUCUACACAGUGAGGCCUUGAGCCUGACUGCGCAGUCUGAGGGCUCCCCACACGCUCGGCCUUGCUGUCAAGCACAAAAACCGUGAACUGAAAGAACAGCACAGAGAGAAUCACCACUCCCAGACGUCUGCGAGCAAUAUAUAAUUGUUGGAGCUUUUUUGUAAGUUUAAGCUCAUUUUGUUGGCAGAUAUUCUUCUCUCGUAACUGAUUAUUGUUUAAAGAUGUGUGCUGUCAUUGUAGGGAUCUGAAAGUUCAUGGUAAUGUUUUAAUUUUUUAUGUCUAAUGUAUUUUUUAGGUCUGCACUGCAGAUUCAAAUUAUUCAAACUCUAAUUAGAGUACACAUGUAGAUGACUGUACUUUAGGAACUGAAACACUAAGAUGUUGGCAUGGGUGUCACGCGAAUUAUGUGAAUUUCAAUAUCCAGACCACACAAGAUUUAAAAAUGAACAACAUUUCUCUCUUUUUAUUGGACGAGCUAAAGUCUUUGGCAGGUCUUCUGAGCAACUAGCUGUAAGGGAAUUUGCUGGAAAACACAAUGUUCUAAAAGAAUGUAUGGACACAAAACACCAGAACUACAACGCAUGCUGGCGCAGCUCCCCACCUGAACUACUACAAAUAACAUUGUCUCUUUGUAAAAACCACCAAUGACAAACGGCAAUAAUAAUCAAAACCAGACCUGCACCGAUUGUAUAUGAACAAAUUGAUAUGUGGAUAUUACCUAUAAUUUAUAUCUUAAGGGAAAAUAAAUACAUAAUGUAUAAGUGUGAAUAAAGA
rnacentral:lncRNA from 1 species